rnacentral:tRNA from 2 species
GGAGAGGUGCUCGAGUGGCUUAAGAGGACGGUUUGCUAAACCGUUGUAGGGGUUAAACUCUACCGUGGGUUCGAAUCCCACCCUCUCCGCCA